UCAGUACUCCCUCCGACCGAUAUUACUUGUCAAAAUAUACAUGUAUCUAAACGCUUUUUAAACAUAGAUACACCAUAUUUGGACAAAUUUGAGACAAGUAAUAUGGAUCGGAGGGAGUAUUGU
rfam:Brachypodium distachyon strain Bd21 chromosome 1, whole genome shotgun sequence.